AGAGUUUGAUCAUGGCUCAGAGCGAACGCUGGCGGCAGGCCUAACACAUGCAAGUCGAACGGGCCCUUUCGGGGGUCAGUGGCAGACGGGUGAGUAACGCGUGGGAACGUGCCCAUCGGUUCGGGAUAACCCAGGGAAACUUGGGCUAAUACCGGAUACGCCCUUUUGGGGAAAGAUUCAUUGCCGAUGGAUCGGCCCGCGUCUGAUUAGCUAGUUGGUGGGGUAAUGGCCUACCAAAGCAGCGAUCGGUAGCUGGUCUGAGAGGAUGACCAGCCAGACUGGGACUGGGACACGGCCCAGACUCCUACGGGAGGCAGCAGUUAGGAAUUUUGGGCAAUGGCCGCAAGGCUGACCCAGCAACGCCGCGUGGGGGAUGAAGGCUCUCGGGUUGUAAACCCCUUUUCCCAGGGACGAUGAUGACGGUACCUGGGGAAUCAGCCCCGGCUAACUACGUGCCAGCAGCCGCGGUAAUACGUAGGGGGCAAGCGUUGUCCGGAUUUAUUGGGCGUAAAGCGCGCGUAGGCGGCGCGACAAGUCGGCCGUGAAAUCUCCCGGCUCAACUGGGAGGGGACGGGCGAGACUGUCGGGCUGGAGGCGGGCAGGGGGCAGUGGAAUUCCGGGUGUAGUGGUGGAAUGCGUAGAGCUCCGGAGGAACACCAGUGGCGAAGGCGGCUGCCUGGGCCUGGCCUGACGCUGAGGCGCGAAAGCGUGGGGAGCGAGCCGGAUUAGAUACCCCCGUAGUCC
rnacentral:rRNA from 1 species